GACGAACCGAGCGAACGUUGUUCGGAAUCACUGGGCUUAAAGGGCGCGUAGGCGGGCUGCCGCGUCCGGGGUGAAAUGCCACGGCUCAACCGUGGAACGGCCUCGGAUACGGGCGGUCUCGAGGGGGGUAGGGGCAUCUGGAACUGUGGGUGGAGCGGUGAAAUGCGUUGAGAUCCACAGGAACUCCGGUGGCGAAGGCGAGGUGCUGGACCCCAUCUGACGCUGAGGCGCGAAAGCCAGGGGAGCAAACGGG
rnacentral:rRNA from 1 species